rnacentral:rRNA from 1 species
UUCCCCCUUAGAGUUUGAUCCUGGCUCAGGACCCUUGCUGGCGGCGUGCCUAACACAUGCAAGUCGAGCGGAGAGCUGGCUUCGGCCAGAUCUUAGCGGCGGACGGGUGAGUAACGCGUGAGCAACCUUUCCCAAACAGGGGGAUAAGAUACCGAAAGGUGUUCUAAUACCGCAUAAGACCACAGGGUGACAUCGCUCAGGGGUAAAAGGAGCAAUUCGGUUUGGGGUGAGCUCGCGUCCGAUUAGAUAGUUGGUGAGGUAACGGCCCACCAAGUCAACGAUCGGUAGCCGACCUGAGAGGGUGAUCGGCCACAUUGGAACUGAGACACGGUCCAAACUCCUACGGGAGGCAGCAGUGGGGAAUAUUGGGCAAUGGGCGAAAGCCUGACCCAGCAACGCCGCGUGAGGGAAGAAGGUUCUCGGAUUGUAAACCUCUGUCCUUGGUGACGAAGGAAGUGACGGUAGCCAAGGAGGAAGCCCCGGCUAACUACGUGCCAGCAGCCGCGGUAAUACGUAGGGGGCUAGCGUUGUCCGGAAUGACUGGGCGUAAAGGGCGUGUAGGCGGCCGAUUAAGUCUGGAGUGAAAGUCCUGCUUUCAAGGUGGGAAUUGCUUUGGAGACUGGUUGGCUUGAGUGCGGAAGAGGUAAGUGGAAUUCCCAGUGUAGCGGUGAAAUGCGUAGAGAUUGGGAGGAACACCAGUGGCGAAGGCGACUUACUGGGCCGUAACUGACGCUGAGGCGCGAAAGCGUGGGGAGCGAACAGGAUUAGAUACCCUGGUAGUCCACGCUGUAAACGAUGAGCACUAGGUGUGGGAGUCGCAAUGCUUUCGGUGCCGCAGUUAACGCAUUAAGUGCUCCGCCUGGGGAGUACGUACGCAAGUAUAAAACUCAAAGGAAUUGACGGGGACCCGCACAAGCAGCGGAGCAUGUGGUUUAAUUCGAAGCAACGCGAAGAACCUUACCAGGACUUGACAUCCCGAUGACCGGUCUUUAAUCGGACCUUCUCUUCGGAGCAUCGGUGACAGGUGGUGCAUGGUUGUCGUCAGCUCGUGUCGUGAGAUGUUGGGUUAAGUCCCGCAACGAGCGCAACCCUUGCUAAUAGUUGCCAUCAUUCAGUUGGGUACUCUAUUGGGACUGCCGGGGAUAACUCGGAGGAAGGUGGGGAUGACGUCAAAUCAUCAUGCCCCUUAUGUUCUGGGCUACACACGUGCUACAAUGGUCGGUACAAAAAGCAGCAAUCCCGUGAGGAGGAGCCAAUCUCAAAAACCGAUCCCAGUUCGGACUGUAGGCUGCAACUCGCCUACACGAAGUUGGAGUUGCUAGUAAUCGUGGAUCAGAAUGCCACGGUGAAUGCGUUCCCGGGUCUUGCACUCACCGCCCGUCA